CUCUUGGCUGGUUCUCACUUCUUUCUCAGUAAGUAAACUAACCAAAAGAAAUAUGGCUUCAAUUGCCCUGAACCUGAAGACCUUCGUUGGACUCCGGCAAGCGUCGCCGGAGAACAACCCCAUAACCGCCCUCGCAAAACCCAGCUCCACCACCACUGCCGCCCGCAAACAGCUCCGCAUAAAUGCCGCCAAAACCAGCCCAAAAGUCACUGGCCGCAACCUCAGGGUCGCAGUGGUAGGUGGAGGCCCUGCUGGUGGCUCCGCCGCUGAGACUCUCGCAAAAGGUGGCAUCGAAACCUUCCUCAUCGAGCGCAAGCUCGACAACUGCAAGCCCUGCGGCGGCGCCAUCCCGCUGUGCAUGGUGGGCGAAUUCGACCUCCCGCUAGACAUCAUAGACCGCCGGGUCACCAAGAUGAAGAUGAUUUCCCCCUCCAACGUCGCCG
rnacentral:lncRNA from 1 species